rnacentral:tRNA from 1 species
GGGCGGUUAGCUCAGUUGGUAGAGCGUCUGCUUUACACGCAGAAUGUCGGGAGUUCGAGCCUCUCACCGCCCA